AUCAGCCUUUUCGGGUGCGAUUCUGUGGGGUUUGAGGAGCUUAACACCUUCAUGCUUUGCAUAUUCGUGCUCUUGGGUGUACUUGCCCGUGUGGUUGGUUAACAUCAAUUUCGGGCACCAUAAAAUGGCUGGAGGAAUGUAGCUUCGAUCUUGUAUUGAAGUGUUAUAGCCUUCGGUAGAUGUGGUGAUCGAGAUUGAGGAUUGCAGCGGAUACCUUUCGGGGCUACCUGUCUGAUCUCUGAUCGUUGCUUUGGUGCUGAAAGCGUGCUUAUAGUUAUCAAAGUCGAUGGUCAAUAGGUUAGAAUGGGUUAAAUUCGUUAAGGAUGUUGACGUAAUGGCUUU
rnacentral:rRNA from 1 species